AUUGAACGCUGGCGGCAUGCCUUACACAUGCAAGUCGAACGGUAACGCGGGGCAACCUGGCGACGAGUGGCGAACGGGUGAGUAAUGCAUCGGAACGUGCCUGGUAGUGGGGGAUAACUGCUCGAAAGAGCAGCUAAUACCGCAUACGACCUGAGGGUGAAAGGGGGGGAUCGCAAGACCUCUCGCUAUCAGAGCGGCCGAUGUCGGAUUAGCUAGUUGGUGGGGUAAAGGCCCACCAAGGCAACGAUCCGUAGCUGGUCUGAGAGGACGACCAGCCCCACUGGGAAUGAGAAACGGCCAAGACUCCGACGGGAGGCAGCAGUGGGGAAUUUUGGACAAUGGACGCAUGUCUGAUCCAGCCAUGCCGCGUGCGGGAAGAAGGCCUUCGGGUUGUAAACCGCUUUUGUCAGGGAAGAAAUCUUCUGGGCUAAUACCCCGGGAGGAUGACGGUACCUGAAGAAUAAGCACCGGCUAACUACGUGCCAGCAGCCGCCGUAAGAC
rnacentral:rRNA from 1 species